GAGGGUAUAGCUCAAGUGGUAGAGUGUAUGUUUAUUGUGCAUGAGGCCCUGGGUUCAAUCCCCAGUACCUCUA
rnacentral:tRNA from 1 species